rnacentral:lncRNA from 1 species
CUUUCAAUUUAUUUUGAGCCCCAGAGCACUUUAGCCCACAGUGGUGAGGCUUGCAAAAACUCAAGUUCUGACUGCUGGCAUUGGCAGUUUCCCUCUGGCUAAGGGUGGUUGAAAUGCAUCCUCUGUGGUCUGGCGUCAGCUGAGUUUGGUCCAGUUUUUCUUUCUGCUAUAACAAGGGCAGCACUGAGUUCAAUGCCUCACAGUUGCUGGCUCUCCCUCUCCCCAGGGCACAGAAACGCUCUUCAGACCAUACUCCUACUGCCAGGGGAUGGAGAAGGCAUGGUGUCAGCAAUUCAAGACUGUUUUUCCUACCUCUUCAGUGUCUCUUUCGGCAAAAUGAAGUGAAAAUCAGAUCUCUGCCAUCAUGUGAGAGAGAGCCUGAGUUAGCCUGCUGGAUGGUCAAAGAUGAGUGGUGCAGCUAAGUGAAAGCCUGCUGACUUGUAGACAUAUGAGUAAGGCCAUGCUUGAUCACCUGGCUGCCAGCUGGCCUGCCAACUAAUUGCAGGUACUUGAAAGAGUCCAGCAGAGAUCAGCCACCCCAGGUCAAAUAAACACCCAGCCCCCUCCCUGAGAAUGAUGAACUAAAUAAAUGUCUUAAGUACUAAGUUUUGGGUGUUUGCUACAUAGCAAAAGCUAAUUGAUACUGUUCCCAAGGAGUGGAAAACUUCUGUAACAAAAAACAAAAAAUUCUGGCAUUGGUUUUGGGAUUGGGCAAUGGGUAGAGGCUAGAAAAAUGGCAAGGAAGCUGCCAUAGCAACCUAGAAAAAUGGCAACCCAUGCUAUAAAAUAGGGCAAUUGGUCAAUAAUUUUUGAAGUGGUUUGUUAUGCAGCAAUAGCCUACUGAUACACCAUGUGAAUUAUAGCAAGGAAUAGCUAAGGCAAAACAAAACAUUGGAUGAGUAGCAUAGUUCAUUCUAAAGAACCACUAAGGCUUGCUCAGGAAUAUGUACUAAUUCAGGUGGCAUCUGUUAACUAUCACUGAGCAUAAUAUUGGAGGAUAAAUCUGCUUUGCUUAUUGCCACCCCCGUAGCUUAGAAGCUACUCCUAAAACAGCAAGGAUGUCACUGUGGCAGUGGGCAAGGAUUAAUUCCCUCAUUUAUUUAUUCAUUUAUUAAUUCAACAAA